UGCAGUCGACGGGCUCUUCGGAGCAGUGGCGGACGGGUGAGUAACGCGUGAGAAUGUGCCUUCAGGAUGGGGAUAACAAUAGGAAACUAAUGCUAAGACCCAAUGUGCCUUAAGAGGUGAAAAAUGAAAAUUGCCUGAAGAGGAGCUCGCGUCUGAUUAGCUAGUUGGGGUGGUAAAAGCGCACCAAGGCAACGAUCAGUAGCUGGUCUGAGAGGAUGAGCAGCCACACUGGGACUGAGACACGGCCCAGACUCCUACGGGAGGCAGCAGUGGGGAAUUUUCCGCAAUGGGCGAAAGCCUGACGGAGCAAUACCGCGUGAGGGAGGAAGGCUCUUGGGUUGUAAACCUCAAAACUUAGGGAAGAAAAAAAUGACGGUACCUAAUCUAAGCAUCGGCUAACUCCGUGCCAGCAGCCGCGGUAAUACG
rnacentral:rRNA from 1 species